UACGGGGGGGAGCAAGCGUUGUUCGGAUUUACUGGGCGUAAAGGGCGCGUAGGCGGUCAGCACAAGUCAGUUGUGAAAUCUCCGGGCUUAACUCGGAAAGGUCAACUGAUACUGUGCGACUAGAGUGCAGAAGGGGGCAACUGGAAUUCUCGGUGUAGCGGUGAAAUGCGUAGAUAUCGAGAGGAACACCUGCGGCGAAGGCGGGUUGCUGGGCUGACACUGACGCUGAUGCGCGAAAGCCAGGGGAGCAAACGGG
rnacentral:rRNA from 1 species